rnacentral:rRNA from 2 species
AACGAUGUGGGAAGGCCCAGACAGCCAGGAUGUUGGCUUAGAAGCAGCCAUCAUUUAAAGAAAGCGUAAUAGCUCACUGGUCGAGUCGGCCUGCGCGGAAGAUGUAACGGGGCUAAACCAUGCACCGAAGCUGCGGCAGCGACGCUGAUGCGUUGUUGGGUAGGGGAGCGUUCUGUAAGCCUGUGAAGGUGGCCUGUGAGGGUUGCUGGAGGUAUCAGAAGUGCGAAUGCUGACAUAAGUAACGAUAAAGCGGGUGAAAAGCCCGCUCGCCGGAAGACCAAGGGUUCCUGUCCAACGUUAAUCGGGGCAGGGUGAGUCGACCCCUAAGGCGAGGCCGAAAGGCGUAGUCGAUGGGAAACGGGUUAAUAUUCCCGUACUUGGUGUUACUGCGAAGGGGGGACGGAGAAGGCUAUGUUGGCCGGGCGACGGUUGUCCCGGUUUAAGCGUGUAGGUGUGUGUUCCAGGUAAAUCCGGUUCACUUUAACACUGAGGCGUGAUGACGAGGCACUACGGUGCUGAAGCAACAAAUGCCCUGCUUCCAGGAAAAGCCUCUAAGCAUCAGGUAACAUCAAAUCGUACCCCAAACCGACACAGGUGGUCAGGUAGAGAAUACCAAGGCGCUUGAGAGAACUCGGGUGAAGGAACUAGGCAAAAUGGUGCCGUAACUUCGGGAGAAGGCACGCUGACAC